rnacentral:rRNA from 1 species
UACGUAGGUGGCAAGCGUUAUCCGGAUUUACUGGGUGUAAAGGGCGCGUAGGCGGGGAUACAAGUCAGAUGUGAAAUCUAGGGGCUCAACCCCUAAACUGCAUUUGAAACUGUAUUUCUUGAGUGAUGGAGAGGCAAGCAGAAUUCCUAGUGUAGCGGUGAAAUGCGUAGAUAUUAGGAGGAAUACCAGUGGCGAAGGCGGCUUGCUGGACAUUAACUGACGCUGAGGCGCGAAAGCGUGGGGAGCAAACAGG